CUUCCACGUCAUAAUGUUUCCAGAAGUUACUGCUGUUUAGGCCAUAUAGAGAGCCUGUCCACAUGAACACUUCUCAUAGAACUGAAUCUGGUUUACUUUGUAAUGGCAUGCACAACGCGUGUUUACUAUGUCUCAUGUAAACACUGAAGUCAUGGGAAAAUCUCAAAGCAGUGCUGAUCUUUCACAAAUGAACUGUAGGACUAAACCAUUCACAAGACCUGAUUCUCUCAACAUACCAUGAAGAAGAUGAAACAAUGGUGUCUGUAUUGCCAGUGGCAGCACAGCAAUCCAGGACUGGACAUGGUGUGGUUAUUAGUGAUCUGGAGGUUCUCCAUAAACACCAGAAGAUGCAUGGGCAUGCUUUUCAUUACUCACUGGAGAGGCAGCUCAGCAGCUGAGCUUAUACAGACCUUGCAGCCCUGAAGAGAAGCUCAGACACUGGACCAGGGUUUUCCAGUUUCUCAGUCCUUCUGCAGUCUGUAUAUCUGAAUUAUAUUUAUAGCACAUUGUUUCCA